rnacentral:rRNA from 1 species
AUGGAAAAUUUAGUAGUGUACUAUGGGAACGUCUUACGCGACGGUCCAUGCGGGGUGGAUGUGUCCUUCUGCGAGUCGACUACAGUAGUGGUGAGAGACAUGGUCAACGUGGGUUACGCAGCUGUUAGAAGGUGCAUCCGGACGGUCUUUGGCCCAGUGAUGCAGGAAAAAAAAAUGACAAUGGAGGCCUUCGUCGUUGACGGAGGAAAUGAUGGGACAGUUGCCCGUUGGGGUUUGCGGCCUGUCACAGGUGAUCGGUCGUGGGGGUCGUACAUGAGGUUUGCAAGCAAUCCCAAUAACUCAAUGUAUGGUCAGCCGAUGGUGUAUGUGGAGUUCAUUUCAGUCACUGAUGUUGACGGAUGCAGUAGCAGGGGUGGUGAGGUCGAGUUGGCCAUCACAUCAGCCCCUAGCAUCGGCCCAUCGGAACCGACGGGCGGCCAGCCUGUGUAUGACACAGGAUAUUGGUCGGUGGCCGUUGACAUGAGCGAACACGUGGAGGGAUUGCCGGAGGCGCUAGAUGAUGAUGAUCAUUCUUCUGCGUCUUCGGAGUCAAGCGGAGAAGAAGAUGUUCCUCCUCAGAGGGCGGUCGCGGCGGCACUGCAACCUGGGUUUUUACAGGAUAUGAGCAUCACCAACGAAUUUCACUCUACUUCUGGCCUAGGAGCGGGAAGCCUGGAGGUUGGGCAAGUUUUCCCAGAUAAGAAGUCUGCUUACCAGGCAAUGAGUAGCUAUGCAAUCGGCAUCCACCGCCAGCAUAGAGUGAAGCAGUCUGAUAAAAAAGAGUUGAAGGUCAUACGCAUCCACACCGCGAAAGGUUGCCGCGGAAGAGUUCUCGCUAGACUAAAGCCUGGGGUAUGUCAGUCAUGGCAUAUCACAAAAAUAGUGGAGCAUACCUGUGAGCAAACUGGGACUCUUUCAGAUCACUGCAAUGUGACAGCAAAAUUUGUGGCACAGACGAUGGAAACAAUUGUGCAGGGACGUCUCAACAUUAGUGUUAGGGCUCUGCAAAAAGAUGCAGAGGAUCUAAUUGGAUUCCCUGUUAGCUACAGCAAGGCUAGGCGUGCGAAGGAAAAUAUAUUCAAGAACUUGUAUGGUACCUAUGAGGAGGCAUAUUCUUAUGCCCCUAGAAUGCUUCAUCAAAUAGCAAGUGCUAAUAGGGGGACUCAAGUUUGGCGGAGAGAAUGUCCAAACCCAAUGAACCCGGGUGAGCUAAUCCUGGACCGCUUAUUCUAG